rnacentral:misc_RNA from 1 species
AGCAGCCGCGGUAAUUCCAGCUCCAAUAGCGUAUAUUAAAGUUGUUGCAGUUAAAAGCUCGUAGUUGAAUUUCGGGAUUGGCGCAUCGGUCGUGCCUCACGGGGUAUGAACUGGUGCAGUCAAUUUCUCACCUUCUGGAGAACCGCGAUGUCCUUAAUUGGAUGCCGCGGGGAACCAGGACCUUUACUUUGAAAAAUUAGAGUGUUUAAAGCAGGCAUUUUUGCUUGAAUACAUUAGCAUGGAAUAAUAAAAUAGGACGGCAUGGUUCUAUUUUGUUGGUUUCUAGGACCACCGUAAUGAUUAAUAGGGAUAGUUGGGGGCAUUAGUAUUCAAUUGUCAGAGGUGAAAUUCUUGGAUUUAUUGAAGACUAACUACUGCGAAAGCAUUUGCCAAGGAUGUUUUCAUUAAUCAAGAACGAAAGUUAGGGAUCGAAGACGAUCAGAUACCGUCGUAGUCUUAACCAUAAACCUAUGCCGACUAGGAAUCAGACGAUGUUAAUUUUUAUGUACUUCGUUUGGCU